rnacentral:rRNA from 1 species
AUUGAACGCUGGCGGCAGGCCUAACACAUGCAAGUCGAGCGGAUGAAGGGAGCUUGCUCCUGGAUUCAGCGGCGGACGGGUGAGUAAUGCCUAGGAAUCUGCCUGGUAGUGGGGGAUAACGUCCGGAAACGGGCGCUAAUACCGCAUACGUCCUGAGGGAGAAAGUGGGGGAUCUUCGGACCUCACGCUAUCAGAUGAGCCUAGGUCGGAUUAGCUAGUUGGUGGGGUAAAGGCCUACCAAGGCGACGAUCCGUAACUGGUCUGACAGGAUGAUCAGUCACACUGGAACUGAGACACGGUCCAGACUCCUACGGGAGGCGGCAGUGGGGAAUAUUGGACAAUGGGCGAAAGCCUGAUCCAGCCAUGCCGCGUGUGUGAAGAAGGUCUUCGGAUUGUAAAGCACUUUAAGUUGGGAGGAAGGGCAGUAAGUUAAUACCUUGCUGUUUUGACGUUACCAACAGAAUAAGCACCGGCUAACUUCGUG